CCCCCAUCCCAUCCCUCUAGGUCAUCACAGAGCACUGGGCUGAGCUCCCUGUGUUAUACAGCAACUUCCCUCUAGGGUGAGAAUCAUUCUCCUCACAUUUCCUGGUUGGGAAAUGAUUGAGAAAUACACACAGGCAUCAGGUGCCAAUUUUGGAAGACACAGUCAAAGGCAGCAACUACUUUCCCUUCUGCUCUUGUCAGCAGGGCUGACCACUAUGGGCAGACAGAUCUGAAUGAGAGAGCUAGAGAAGCCAGGCCUCACACAUGCAGUGACCCAUCCAGCUAUCUACCAGUUAGUGUCUAUUCAUCCAUAAACGGCUCACUUCAAGUUUAGAGCAUGAAUGCCAGUAACAGUGGAGACUAACAGCUUACUCUUUCCUGUUAGAAGAAAAAAGACAAUUGCCUCAAUCAUAGAGUAAAAGCCCUGAGAUUCAAACCAUGGCCUAUUGAAUUCAGGAGUCUGAGUGACUCAGGCCAAAACCAAGCACGGGGGCAAGAAGACUACGAUAACCUUAAAAUAUCAGGCCAAAAAGGGCCUACCUCGAGAUGGGACUAAGGAUGAGGCUAUGGCUCAUCCAAGCCACACAGCUGCUGCAUAACAAAGGAGUGGAACUGAGGUCAAAAGGACUUUCCCAGUGUAAGAAUCCACCUUCCAGUGCAGGGGAUGCACGUUGGAUCCCUGGUCUGGGAGCAAAGAUCCUGCAUGCCUCGGGGCAACUACACCCACGAGCCACAAAUACUGAGCCAGUGGGGUCCGAAGCAUGCAAGUUCCAACUAGAGGAUCCCACAUGCCACAUCUAAGAUGCGACACAGCCAAAUAAAUAACUAAAAAUGAUAAUAAUAAUUCUCAGGUCAGAACCAUAUGUCUUAUCAAAGAAAGUAGAAAGAGACAGAAGGACUUUUUUUUUUUUCAG
ensembl:lncRNA